rfam:Helianthus annuus linkage group 14, whole genome shotgun sequence.
AGGCCGUGAUGGGGACACUUGCGUAAUAGCUCCUUGAACCUUUCCCAAGUUUCAUAUAAGGAUUCCCCGUCCUCUUGUGAAUAUGAAUUAAUUUCAGCCAUUAGCUU